rnacentral:rRNA from 1 species
GACGGAGGAUGCAAGCGUUAUCCGGAAUGAUUGGGCGUAAAGGGCUCGUAGGCGGUCUGUCGCGUCGAUCGUGAAAACUUGGGGCUUAACCCUGAGCUUGCGGUCGAUACGGGCAUGACUGGAGUUCGGCAGGGGAGACUGGAAUUCCUGGUGUAGCGGUGAAAUGCGCAGAUAUCAGGAGGAACACCGGUGGCGAAGGCGGGUCUCUGGGCCGAUACUGACGCUGAGGAGCGAAAGCGUGGGGAGCGAACAGG